GCGGGGCUGUUUGGAUGUGGAAGCAGAGACCUGAAACGGGGGCUCAGCCCUGAGAGAUGGAUCGAUACCUACUCCUAGUGACCUGGGAGGAAGAAAAAGUCCCGUCGGCGGCGGGUGCGGUGGCGGAGCAUGGGCCGGGGGCUUCGUCCUCUGAGGGUACCGAGAAACAGCCAGACUUAAGAGCAGCAAAUGUUUAUCACCUCCUGAAAAGAAGCAUUAAUGCUUCAAUUAAUCCAGAAGAUAGUACCUUUCCUGGCUGUUUGGUAGGCGGUAUACCAGGUUCCAGGAAGUGGUUCUUUGCUGUGCAGGCAAUAUGUGGAUUUUAUCAGUUUUGUAGUUCUGACUGGGAAGAGAUACAUUUUGGUGUGGAAAAAGAUGAAAUUGAAGAUGUGCUUCAAAGAAAUAUCGAAGAAUGUUUGAGUGCUGUUGAGUGUUUUGAGGAAGAAGAUAGUAAUAGCAGGGAAUCAUUACCCUUGGCUGAUCUCUAUGAAGAAUCUGCAGAAAAUUUGCAUCAGUUAUCAGACAAACUUCCUGCUCCUGGUAGAGCAAUGAUAGAUAUAAUACUGUUGCCUUCUGACAAAGAUCCACCUAAAUUGAGAGACUGUUUGCCUACUGUAGGAGCAUUAAAACAUUUGAAGGAAUGGUAUUCAGCAAAAAUUACCAUAGCAGGAAAUCAUUGUGAAACAAGUUGUCAGAAAAUUGCCGAAUACCUUUCUGCUAAUAUUGUAUCUUUACAAGAUCUCAGAAAUGCUAUUGAUUCAAAGGAGUUAUGGAGGGGAAAGAUUCAGAUAUGGGAAAGGAAGUUUGGAUGUGAAAUUAGUUUUCCUGAAUUUUGUUUAAAGGGAGUCACACCUAAGAAUUUUAGUACAUCUAAUUUAAAAACUUGCUUUCUUGACAAAAAGAUAAUACCAUCAAAGGAUAAGAGUAUUUUGCCGAAGGUUUUUCAUUAUUAUGGCCCUGCUUUAGAAUUUGUGCAGAUGAUAAAAUUAUCAGACCUACCUUCCUGCUAUAUGUCAGACAUUGAAUUUGAGUUAGGACUGACAAAAAACAAUACCAAACAGAAUUCCAAGUUGCUGUUGGAGCAGAUUUCUUCCCUGUGUGGCAAGGUUGGUGCUCUUUUUGUAUUGCCAUGUACCAUUAGUAGCAUACUUAUUCCUCCUCCCAGCCAGCUCAGUUCAAGAAAAUGGAAGGAAUACAUAGCCAGAAAGCCUAAGACAAUCAGUGUUCCAGAUGUUGAAGUGAAAGGAGAGAGUUCUAGCUAUUAUCUCUUGUUACAAGGUAAUGGCAACAGAAAGUGUAAAGCCACAUUGAUUCACUCAGCCAACCAGAUCAAUGGCUCCUUUGCACUCAGUUUAAUUCAUGGAAAGAUGAAAGCAAAGACAGAAGAAACCAAAUUGAGCUUUCCUCUUGACCUCUUGUCACUUCCAAAUUUCUCUGGGGAGCAACUUAUACAGAGAGAGAAACAGUUAGCUAAUGUUCAGGCUUUGGCCUUGAAAGAAUGUCUGAAAAGGAGAAAGUUAGCAAAGCAGCCGGAAGUACUUUCUGUGGAUGAACUCAAAAGUCUAUUAAUACUCACAAGGGAAUGCUUUUUCAAUCAUUUUGAUGCUAUUAUCCCUAAAACGAGUCUAAUAAAGACAGACAACACUUCUAAUAUGUUAAAUGUACUUACAUAUUUCUCUUCAGAUUCCAAUCCAGUGGAACCUAUUUCUUCAAGUCUAGUGGAAACCAAUCCUCUGGAGUGGCCAGAAAGGCAUGUUCUUCAAAAUUUGGAAACUUUUGAAAAAGCUAAACAAAAAAUGAGAACUUGUUCAUUACCUCGUUCAUCUGAACAGUUACUGGGACACAAAGAGGGUCCACGGGAUUCAGUCACAUUAUUGGAUGCUAAAGAAUUGCUGAAAUUCUUUACCUCAGAUGGACUACCAAUUGGAGAUCUUCAACCUUUACAGAUUCAAAAAGGGGAAAAGACUUUUGUCCUGACACCAGAACUUAGUCCUCGGAAACUUCGGGGUUUACCUUUUGAAAAAGCCUCAGUAUGUCAUUAUCAUGGAAUUGAAUAUUGCUUGGAUGACCGAAAAGCAUUAGAAAGAGAUGGGGGAUUUUCAGAACUUCAGUCUCGUCUUAUUCGUUAUGAAACUCAAACUACAUGCACCAGAGAAAGUUUUCCAGUACCUACGGUACUGAGCCCUCUUCCGUCUCCAGCAGUUUUGUCAGAGCCCGGAAGUGUCCCUGAUGGAGAAGCUUUACAAAGUGAACUCCGGACUGAAGUCUCCCGAGUAAAAAGGAGAUCAAAAGAUCUGAACUGCCUUUAUCCCCCCAAAAGACUUGUGAAAUCUGAAAGUUCAGAUUCUCUUCUUUCUCAGAGAAGUGGCAGUACUAAUCAUCAUCAUCAUGCAGUGACAUCCAGAAAGCCACGGGCAGAGAGAUCAUUAUCUGUGACUUGUCCAUCUCUUCCAGUUCUUAGCAAUGAAACUCCCAAAGUCACUACAAAUGCCAGUUUAGGUCAAAAAAGGGUGCGUGAAUCAAAAACAUCACGGCCCACUAAGGAAUCAAGAUCACAGAAACACACACGGGUAUUGAAAGAAGUGGUUACUGAAACCCUGAAGAAACACAGGAUUACUGAGGCUCACGAAUGUUUCACAGCUUGCAGCCAACGUCUCUUUGAGAUCUCAAAGUUCUAUCUAAAGGAUCUUAAAACUUCAAGGGGCCUAUUUGAAGAAAUGAAGAAAACAGCAAGCAACAAUGUUGUACAGGGAUAAACAAGACUCACAAUCUGAUGGAUACUGUCACAUCAUGAUCAUCCAAUGUCUUGAGGUCUCAGAAUUUGACUCCUGGUUUGUCUGAUUCCAAAGUCCAUGAAUCUCCUCACUCUGCUCAUCUCCCACUCCCCACCUCUGAAGAACUCCUGGAUCGGUAAGAAGGAGGGCAGGAGGCUGACAGUUAAUGUGUACUAGGUAUAUGGGAACAAAUGGAAUGGAUGGGUGUGUAGGCAAACCCCACACUUUUCAGUUUGUCAGAGUGCAGCUUCUUGGGCACGUAGAUCCUUUUAUGCUACCCUAGGGAAUGCCCAUGGAAUAUGCCCACAUUCUCUAAGAGUGAGGGCGGCUCCCAGGCUUAGUGUGAAAACCAUGGGCUGAUUAUAAUUUAAUGUUUGACAAAUGCAAUUGGCCAGCCUUUCCCAGUGGAAAGCAUUAUUAAAAUAUCGGAGGCUGGCCUGAGGCAGCAGCUACUUUUAGCACUUAGAAACAGGUUAGUUCCUGAGGCACCAAAGAUUCCCCCAAACCUUCCAUGUCUCUGGUUCCCAAGUGAUAUCAAAGGAGAGGAGUGCAUAUUCGUCUGUUCCUUUUUUUGAGCUACUUCAAACCCACAGGUCAGGGAACUGGGCUCAGAGCAGCAUCGUUCUUUUUACAAGCUCUGUGCUCCCGAACUUUUCAUCAACCACUGGGACCGGGUGGGCAGAAUUUCUGGGUUAAACUUCUUCUAGAAUUCCAGAAAUAUUGCAACCUUACUCCUCACUCUCUGUAGACCUAUCUCACUUGCCAUUUGUGACAACAGUGACAAAAAACCAAUGCACUUACUCCUUAUGGGCAAGAAUACCUUUCUUUUUUUUAAUGUUCAGCAACAUCAAAUAAGCUUUAGCUAAGCAAAAAGUGUUUUCCCAGGGACGCAUAAAAAGCUGAAGGAGGAGAACAACUAAAAUUACAACAUGUUUGCAAACUUCUUGAGCACACUGCUAUGAACUGCGCCAUCAAUGUACAGAGGCACCGUGGAAUUUUGUCAGUGGAAAAAGUGACUGCCUGUAAACUUCUCUGCAUGGAGGCUGACACCAAGAACAUAUUGUGAGCAUUUCUAGGGCCUCUGCCUUGAAAUACAAUCAAAUUUUCAUCUUCCAGAAAAAUAUAAAUUAGAUGUGCCUGGGCCCCCCCAAAAAACCUCAAAACAAAUCAGCAAAUCAACUAUGAACUGUCUGAGCUGAGGGAUAACUUGAUUUUAGAAGAAAACUGUUUCCUACUGGCUACAGUCCCAGCCAGUUCUUCCUGUGCAAGAGAAAAGACUGUCUCUCACAUUCUGAACAAUGCUUUCCAGAA